CACGUAUUUAGCCGGUGCUUCUUAGUCAGGUACCGUCAUUUUUCUUCCCUGCUGAUAGGGCUUUACAUACCGAAAUACUUCUUCACCCACGCGGCGUCGCUGCAUCAGGGUUUCCCCCAUUGUGCAAUAUUCCCCACUGCUGCCUCCCGUAGGAGUUUGGGCCGUGUCUCAGUCCCAAUGUGGCCGGUCGCCCUCUCAGGCCGGCUACUGAUCGUCGGUUUGGUGGGCUGUUACCCCGCCAACUGCCUAAUCAGACGCGGGCCCAUCCCAUACCGCUAAUGCUUUCCAUCCAAGGGCAUGCGCCCCCGCAUGUACAUGCGGUAUUAGCAGCCGUUUCCGGCUGUUAUCCCCCUGUAUGGGGCAGGUUACCCACGCGUUACUCACCCGUCCGCCACUCAGUCAAAGGCGCUUCCUCCCCGAAGGGAUUCCGCUCCAGUGCUUCGUUCGACUUGCAUGUGUUAAGCACGCCGCCAGCGUUCAUCCUGAGCCAGGAUCAAACUCU
rnacentral:rRNA from 1 species